GAGUUUUUCUUCGGCCGGCAGCGCAUACACUAACAUUGGAACAAUACAGAGAUUAGCAUCCCCUAUGCAAGGAUGGCGUACAAAUNGGUAAAGCGAUACAUAUAUUC
rnacentral:snRNA from 1 species